GAGUUUGAUCAUGGCUCAGGACGAACGCUGGCGGCGUGCCUAAUACAUGCAAGUAGAACGCUGAAGAGAGGAGCUUGCUCUUCUUGGAUGAGUUGCGAACGGGUGAGUAACGCGUAGGUAACCUGCCUUGUAGCGGGGGAUAACUAUUGGAAACGAUAGCUAAUACCGCAUAACAAUAGGUGACACAUGUCAUUUAUUUGAAAGGGGCAAUUGCUCCACUACAAGAUGGACCUGCGUUGUAUUAGCUAGUAGGUGAGGUAACGGCUCACCUAGGCGACGAUACAUAGCCGACCUGAGAGGGUGAUCGGCCACACUGGGACUGAGACACGGCCCAGACUCCUACGGGAGGCAGCAGUAGGGAGUCUUCGGCAAUGGGGGCAACCCUGACCGAGCAACGCCGCGUGAGUGAAGAAGGUUUUCGGAUCGUAAAGCUCUGUUGUAAGUCAAGAACGAGUGUGAGAGUGGAAAGUUCACACUGUGACGGUAGCUUACCAGAAAGGGACGGCUAACUACGUGCCAGCAGCCGCGGUAAUACGUAGGUCCCGAGCGUUGUCCGGAUUUAUUGGGCGUAAAGCGAGCGCAGGCGGUUUGAUAAGUCUGAAGUUAAAGGCUGUGGCUCAACCAUAGUUCGCUUUGGAAACUGUCAAACUUGAGUGCAGAAGGGGAGAGUGGAAUUCCAUGUGUAGCGGUGAAAUGCGUAGAUAUAUGGAGGAACACCGGUGGCGAAAGCGGCUCUCUGGUCUGUAACUGACGCUGAGGCUCGAAAGCGUGGGGAGCGAACAGGAUUAGAUACCCUGGUAGUCCACGCCGUAAACGAUGAGUGCUAGGUGUUGGAUCCUUUCCGGGAUUCAGUGCCGCAGCUAACGCAUUAAGCACUCCGCCUGGGGAGUACGACCGCAAGGUUGAAACUCAAAGGAAUUGACGGGGGCCCGCACAAGCGGUGGAGCGUGUGGUUUAAUUCGAAGCAACGCGAAGAACCUUACCAGGUCUUGACAUCCCGAUGCUAUUUCUAGAGAUAGAAAGUUACUUCGGUACAUCGGUGACAGGUGGUGCAUGGUUGUCGUCAGCUCGUGUCGUGAGAUGUUGGGUUAAGUCCCGCAACGAGCGCAACCCCUAUUGUUAGUUGCCAUCAUUCAGUUGGGCACUCUAGCGAGACUGCCGGUAAUAAACCGGAGGAAGGUGGGGAUGACGUCAAAUCAUCAUGCCCCUUAUGACCUGGGCUACACACGUGCUACAAUGGUUGGUACAACGAGUUGCGAGUCGGUGACGGCAAGCUAAUCUCUUAAAGCCAAUCUCAGUUCGGAUUGUAGGCUGCAACUCGCCUACAUGAAGUCGGAAUCGCUAGUAGUCGCGGAUCAGCACGCCGCGGUGAAUACGUUCCCGGGCCUUGCACACACCGCCCGUCAAA
rnacentral:rRNA from 1 species